AAAGUACUAUAAUCUGAAGAGACCAAAUUUGCGCUUUUUAUCAGUUAUACAGACAUCAGACUAUGUCAUUUUCACAAGCCAAACACUGCACAGAAGGUUGGUGGUGGCUACAACACAGUGUGGAAUGCUUAUUUAGGUAGUGGGUGAUACAAAUGUAGCAAAAUGCACAGAAGAAAAUGUGAAAAAGUCUGUAAGAAACCUGAGACUUGGGAAAUUUGUUUUCCGGCAAGACAGUAGCCACAAAAAUAAGGCUAUAUAAAGGAAUGGCAUAAAAAAAACAUUCUUGUCCUGGAGAAGCCAAGUUUGGGUCCUAUUCUUGAACCUAAUGAGAAUAUAUUCCUUAUUCUUCACAGAAUUUGAGCAGUUUACAACAAAGAGUGGGGCAGAACUUUCCAGAAGUACAAAAGUGAUAAGAUGCCAAGACUCAAGGGUCAUUAGUUCUACUGAUGUGCAAGCAAAAUAUACAAAGUUGGAAGUUGGGAGAAUACGCUUAAUGUAAUUGGAUAUUUUUUAUCUAGAUUUUAAUUCAGAUUAUAUAUAGAUACUUAAUUUCACUAAGUUCAAAGGGCAUAUUUUUUAAUUAUUAUAUGAAAAAAUUUGGAUUUUCUUUUUUAAUUUAUGUAUUUAUCAUUUUUAAUGUGAUAAAACAACAAACUUUGUUAAUAUUUUUAUAGACAAACACCAUAAAUGACAUUGCAUGAUAAAAUAAAACAUUUUUUUUUUCCUCCUUACAUACUCGAUUUAUAUAUAACAUGACCUUAUCAGUGCCUGUGUAUUGUGAAGGUGCCUAAUGGCCAUUUUUCAGUUCCACCUCCUAAAAUGGACACACAAUAUAUGUAUGAUACUGUACGAAUUGUCUCUUUUUUUAAAUUUACGUGUAUAUAUUAACAUUUCAUCCAUGUGGAACUAUUUUUGUUGGUGGUUUUGUUUUGGUUCAUUUACUAUUAUGUAAUGUAUUUCUGCCUUUGUCUUCCUCUGUAGCCUUAUGUACAAAUAGCACAGCACAUCAUUUCUGCGGUUCUUGUGUCAAAUGUCGAGGUGUAGCCUUUCAAAGAAUUUUAAAUUUUUUUGUAAAAUUGUAAAACCGUGCCAGGUUGAACUUUGUUAGUGAAAGAAAUACACCAGAGUUCCUGUAAUGGACAUUUGUGUAAAGUAAUAACGUUAACAGGCUGUGCUGUUAUUUUUUUAAUAUUCAACCUAAAAUUUCAAACAUCUUUGAUGUUAUGUCACAAUUUAAUGUCAUAUAGUGACCAUCAAAUUUAAAUGAUGUAUUUGUGUCAAGUGUCCGUGAUAUUUUUGGUCAUUUUGGGACAUUACACUUGUGAAUGAAUGCCUGUUGAAACUCUCAUAGGAAGAAUUUGUACUAUUUUCCUUCUAAAAGGCAGCACAUUGUGUCCUUUACAACACAUUUUAAAACAUUUGUGUUUCCCCAAAACAACCUUAAAGAACUAUGUUACAAAUGAUCUUCU